GUCAAUUUUGUGAUAUGUAUAUUUCUCCUCUUGUUUAGGUAUUGUGUUUAUACAGAUCUUUUACCUAUAAUAGUCAGAACUUAUAAUUAGGUUAGUUAGGUUUUCUAGAUAUAGAGAUGUAUUUGAGAUGGUUAGGUAUUCUUCAAACCUUUCAAAGACCUACAGAAAUAUGGCAUUUAAAUGGUUUAGGGUUUUUCUUGGCAGUGAGACAAAACUGCUCCUGGCACACCAAUUACUUCAGAAAGGAGGAUGGCCAUUGAAGAAACUUGUUAUGGAGUUUGCUUUCAACAUGGCAAGAUUAGCCAUUUGGGCAAGAAACUGCUCUUGCCUGGACUGUUUGU
rnacentral:lncRNA from 1 species